GACCCCAGGUCAGGCGGGAUCACCCGCUGAGUUUAAGCAUAUCAAUA
rnacentral:rRNA from 1 species